AAUCUGGUGCUAAAUAGGUAUGGAGGUUCAAAUCCUCUCCGAGGCA
rnacentral:tRNA from 1 species